CACAGAGCACUCAUAAAAAUUAAUUACUAAAUGAUAUUGACAGUGAAGUGCUGCUGGAUGGUUAGGCAGUGCUUUGAGACAGUGAUAAGUCAGUAAGUGUCUCUGAGAUGGUUGAUUCUUCAGAAUUGGAUCUCGGUAACUCAGAUCCUACUCAAAAUGUAAAGACAGACAUGAAUGUGUUAAGAGAAUGUAUAAGACUGUGAGGAAUUCUGACACUGAAGUAGCAAAAUGAAUAAAAAUAGCGUUAACUGCAGGAAGCAGUUGGAUUCUCAUUCACCACACAAUGUAUUUUAGUCUCCUCUUUAUGCUACAAUACUUCUUUAAUGAUACUGCAGUGAAGACUUGAUUAUACCAUAUAGUGUUUUCUUUGAAAAAGAAGAUAUUUGGAUUGCUAGCCCAUAGCAAUUGCAAUCCUGCUUAAAUUCAACAGCCAACUACAGAUGAGCAUUUGGACAGGUCUUCUCUCAGACUGAACAAACUGUGGACUAUUUAUUUUACAGAGGCUUCUUGGACCACAGCUGAUAGGUCAGUACCCUAACUGAGGAGAUGCUGUGGAGAUACGUACGUCUUCCAAAAUGACAGUAGUGCCACACAGCACUUUCCAGUUGUGAUGGUCAAAAAGACAGAAAACAAAUCAGAUCAUGAGUUAGCUAUCUAAACCCCAGAUCGUAGUACUAAGAUAUUAAUCAUAGUACUAAGAUAUUAAGAUGGAUCAUAGUACUAAGGUUUUAAUAUCACACUGUACUGAAUUGUUUUGUACCAUGCUGUCAUUAACAGAUUAUCAAAGCUUUACUUACUUGUGAAUUAAGCGAUAUAAUUAACUUCCAUUGUAAAUGAACUGAAAGACGAACGUUGCACAACAUUCAGUAUUUGUGGUGUGAAUUUGGAAACAAGAAAACAGCUGUAGACUCAGCUAUGAAGUAUUCCUAUUGCUGCACUGGUCCCCAAAAAUAUCUUUCCAAGUUAAAGCACUGGAAUUUGUAUGAGAACGCUACAAGGGGAUACCAAAUGUACUCAUUUGUAGGUUUGAUUUUUGGAAAUACUUCAGACAUUAUAUGGUGAGCCAGUUACUUCAUUAUUACAUGCAAGUAAUUCAGUUUUAGGAGAGCCUAUUGCUUUCUAGAUAAUUUCUGUUUAUGGUGUCAGGUAUUAUUUGUGAAUACAGGGUCUUAAUACAUACAAUUAGACCAGAAGUCCUCACUGAAACAAAGGCUAUUAUUGGUCUGGCAAAUACAGCCUUCAUUUUCUCAUCUAAGUACAUUAAUAGUACUCAAACAUAACUCUUCUAUUUAAUUCAGACACAAUAACAUCGUUAUCUUGGCUUCCUUGUGGCUUGACAUACAAUCAACUGAGAUACAAAAGAGGAGUCACAAUGAGAUCUUCAGAAAGCUAAUCAUUCCACAAGGUAACUGAACUUAGAUGUCCUGUUCCAAAACACUUUUAAUGUCCUAUUUGAGUAGAAGCAGCUGGGCUGCUGUGGGGGAACUGUUAGGUCAGGUCUUGAUUGAGCACCUGGUGAAGGGGUGUGUCUGGCCAGGGAGCACAGGCAAACUGCUUGCACCUGUGUUCCCCAUUAUGAUUAUAUAAGGGGGUGGACCCAGCAUAGAACCCUCUGGGCUUAUGUGAGGGCCAGCCACUGGAAGGAGAGCAUCUUUUGGAUGUUGGCUGUUUUCUGAGAAGGAGACUUCAUCUGGAUCAGAGGAAUUCUUAUGGAUGGGUGUUUUGCCAGAACCAGUGAAUUCCUACAGGAAGACUUCAGAAGAAAAGUAGUCUGGCACCUGCAAGUUCCAGCAAGCUUUAUAGAGAAGCCUUAUAUAUAACAGAUCUGAGGCAUUAUCUGAAGUCUGUCUACAUUCAUUAGGAGUCCCUUAAAAAAAAUAUAGAUAAAAGCUAGUCUCAAAUUCUGUUCGCAACUUACACCAGUGAAACCACAGAGUCUUCAAAGGAGCUUUACACAGUGAGAUCUGUACCAUUUUCUUCUUUCAGCAUCCUCACCUGAUGGAAGAACUUGGAUCAGUGGAGUGGGUAUUCACACCUUAAGAUUUGAGCAUUAAUGUGUUUCUUAAGCAGUUGUCUGAGCUCUGAGUAUAGCAAGGAGUUCUUUGCCUGCUGGCUGAUGUACGACAAGACAUCCUCCUAGUGCUUGUGCAUAGAUUUGAAAUUAGUGUGCAUAAGUAGUGUUCUGAUGUGACUUUCAUAUGAAAUAUUGGUAGACAUGUAGCACUCUUACAUUGGUGUAACAUCACCUUGGGUUGUGGGUCUUGUUUUGCCACAGAAAUAAUUUCAGAUAUUUUUUUCCUUUGUCAUAGAUAUUUUCUGAACAAAUCAAUGCAGCGUGAGGAGCUAAAAGAGUUCUGGGCAUUCACAGGCUUUUCAGUAAGAUUAAGAAAUUACAUGUUUAUGAAGGGACAGGAGGUUGCUAUACAAAAGACCUAGGUCUGUCACCAAGUAUUUAUGUAUAUAGAAUAGCGAAUCAAUUUACACUGGCUUUCUGAAAUUUAUAGGUACUCCUUUCUGAAAUUUCUAGGUACUCUACUCAGUGUUUCCUUUCAGUCAUUCUAAGUGUUAUCUCAAAUAAAAAAUGACAUAACCCAAGAUGAUGUCAGAUACUUCAAUGGUUAACAAUCCAGUGAUGAAGCAGCAAGAUAUCCCAGAUGAGCAUUUUCUUUUUUAAUUUUCCUGCCAGUAAAACUUAUCAUAAUAAGGCUAUUUAUUUAUUUAUUUAUUUAACUAGGCUGUUUCUGUAGUUUUUCUGUGAUGUGUGAGCUUGUGGUUACACAUAUGGGUGUCUAUCAAUAUCAGCACAUUUCUACUUUCUUCAUUCACAUAGCGUGAAUCCAUUUUUAUUUUUAUUUUUUUGCUUUAAGUGUUGAGUUUUGUAUGACUGAAGAGUUUAAUUUAUGUUAAAAGAGCUAUUCAAGGGCUUUGAGAACAGGAGUAAUUGUCUCUCAUUUGAAGUUGAGGAAAUAAAAGAGACGGUAAUAAUUAUAUGAUGAAAUUGAAAGAAUAACAAUGCUGGGGAGAAAUUGCCCAUCUACAAAACAAGAGAUAAAAUAGUGGAUGUCUCAACAGUAUUUUGAGAAACAGAUCUACAAUUCCAAGAGUCAGUUCAUCAGAAGUUUCUAUGAUGAGUCUAUUUACCCCUUAAAAUAACUAAAAGGAGUUACAGUUGUCUUUCAUCUGCGCACUUAGAACAAUGGCAGGUGGUUUCAUUACCUUCCUAAACAUAAUAUAUUUUACUUUACCUCUACAGUAUUGACCUAUUUAGCUACCUGAAUGUAGCAUCCUUUUUUUUCCCUACAGAGAGGGGUAUACUCUGAGUUCUCUGUUAUAAACUUCCUACUAGAAAUAUUUCUGAUAUAAAGCACUGCUUGUGGGAGUAGAGCAACAGUCUGUGAAUUACCAUUCUGCUGUGUUCCAGUAUGAUUCCUACAGGAGCUGUCAUCUCAGGCUCAGACCUGUGGGACAGCAACAUCUGCUGAUGCCAGAGGCAGGAAGAAGUGUGGAUCUGAUAUUUGCUUACUGGGAUAAGGAUGUGUUGUGGGACCUUGUCAAAGGCCUUGCAGAAGUGCAGGAAGAUGACAUCUGCUGGCCUUCCUUUGUCCACUGACACUGUCACUCCAUUGUAGAAGGCCACCAGAUUGUUCAGGUAUGAUCUGCCCAUGGCAAAGCCAUGCUGGCUGUCACCUCCUCAUCUCUGUCAUAACUUUACUGCCGGUAGGGUCUGCUCCAUGAUCUUGCCAGCCAUAGAGGUGGGGCACAUCAGUCUGUAUUUCCUCAGGUCUUCCAUUCUUUGUUGAACAUGGCAGUGAUGAGUCUGAUCAAAACUGCCAACUAACUUUUCAUUUACUUAUUUUUACUUGGUGUAUUAGCACCAUCUAAAAAGCCUGAAGUAUAUUUCCUGCCUUUCUUCCUGACUCUGACAAAUGGUAUUGACACAGGCUUUCUCUUUGGCUUCUUUUUUGCUGCACACAAAAAUUUCAUUCAUUAAAUUUCUCGUAAUGAUGAAAAGUCUCUGAGGGAUUGCUUUCCAAAUGUAGAUUGUUAUUUUUGGGUUCAGUGACUUCAUUUAUUUUAGUGAAGGGUAAAAAAAGGGUAGGAAAAGAAAGUUAGGUAGAUAUUUUCAGCAUCUGUAGGAAAUGAGUGUUUACCAACUGCCUGCCUGAGAGUUAGGAACAACCAGAAGCAAUUUCCUAAAUUUUAGAAAAUAUCUCAACAUAUUAGAAUACAAAUUAAGUUAGAGAUUUUUUCAGUAAUGAUAGGGAUACUGAUUUUGUUGGACUUUCUGGGGUUCCAAGACUAUUAUGUUCCUAUUCAAGUGGGGAUUCUAAAACGUGUUCUGCUAUUCCUCCUUGUUGUUCCAUUCUCUGGCUGUUAACUCUCUAUUUCUGAUUUCUCUGUAUUAUAGGACUGGAUAGUCCUAUGCUUUUUUAUUCUCUUUAUUUCCUUCUGCAUCUAUUCAUGUUACAAUGCACUUUCCUCCUAUCUUUCUUUUUACCAUGUUCCUUUCUUCUUCUCCUUUUCCUUUGUUCUCUCCUUCCUAUGACUUUUUCUAAUUUGCUUUCUCGUGUGUCAUUACUGUGCUUCUGUUUCCAGUCAUCACUCUGUAUCCCAUGUUGAGACUUUCAGAAAGAAACAGAGUCUUUUAAAUUAAUUAGAGGAGCUCCUUUCUCCAGUAUUAAAGAAAAACUCUUUCAACUAGAAAAUAUAGUAUGCACACCAACUUUUUCUGUAGUUAGAACUCUAAAUAAACUUCUCUAUUUGUUCAGCUGCAAAAGUAUUCAUCACAAAUGAGGAAAUUCUGAUGUAGAACAUAAUCUAACGCACAGGAGAUGUUCAUAGUAACUUUAGAAAUGUAAAGUGAUACAU